CUGAGAGGCGGUAAGCCGAGCUGGCCGCUCCUCAUCUGCAUAAACUUGGCUGGAUUCAACUUUAUACAAAUGAGGAGCAGGAGAUUCAACACCCCACUUCUCCAAAAUCCCCACGACGCUACCAGAAUGCAUUGCACGGCUGCCUCCAUAGAAAUGAAUGGGAAGCGCAGAAAUGACACUGACAACGGACACCCACCAUUUGGAGAAGCCUGAGCCGUUGAGCCUACGUCUAAAACUUUAAACCAUUUGACCAACUUACCAUUUAUAACAUAGAA